GUGUCAGCAGCCGCGGUAAGACGAACUGUGCGAACGUUAUUCGGAAUCACUGGGCUUACAGGGUGCGUAGGCUGCCUGUUAAGUAGGGUGUGAAAUCCCCCGGCCCAACCGGGGAAUGGCGCUCUAAACUGGCAGGCUUGAGUGAGCUAGGGGUGCAUGGAACUUCCAGUGGAGCGGUGAAAUGUGUUGAUAUUGGAAGGAACACCGGAGGCGAAAGCGAUGCACUGGGGCUUAACUGACGCUGAGGCACGAAAGCCAGGGUAGCGAACGGGAUUAGAAACCCCCGUAGUCC
rnacentral:rRNA from 1 species